CGAGCGUCAGUACAGCCCUCAAGCCCAGCUUGGUGUUGGGCGCCACCUGUGGGUGCGCCCCAAAGCCAUCGGCGGUGCCGCCCGGCUUCCAGCAAAGUAGUGUCCAGCGCUGCGGAGCCCCGCCGGCCACCGCCUGCCCCAGACUCCUCGGAGUCCCACAGGUUGACCUCGGAUCAGGUAGGGAUACCCGCUGAACUUAA
rnacentral:misc_RNA from 1 species